rnacentral:rRNA from 1 species
CCUACGGGAGGCAGCAGUAGGGAAUAUUGCUCAAUGGGGGAAACCCUGAAGCAGCAACGCCGCGUGGAGGAUGAAGGUUUUCGGAUUGUAAACUCCUUUUGUUAGAGAAGAUAAUGACGGUAUCUAACGAAUAAGCACCGGCUAACUCCGUGCCAGCAGCCGCGGUACUACGGAGGGUGCAAGCGUUACUCGGAAUCUCUGGGCGUAAAGAGCGCGUAGGCGGGAUAGCAAGUCAGAUGUGAAAGCCUAGGGCUUAACCAUAGAACUGCAUUUGAAACUGUGAAUCUAGAGUAUGGGAGAGGUAGGUGGAAUUCUUGGUGUAGGGGUGAAAUGCGUAGAGAUCAGGAGGAAUACUGAUUGCGAAGGCGACCUGCUAGAACAUAACUGACGCUGAUGCGCGAAAGCGUGGGGAGCAAACAGGAUUAGAUACCCGUGUAGUC